CCUGCAACAAAUGUGGAUAGAGCCUUCCCAAAUCUUCGUUCGCAAAGCCCAGCCAUGAUGAUGAUGAUGUUACUUGUGUUUUCUCACAACUGCUACAAACUGAAGGCAGAAAAACGAAGUCUCUCCCACUCUGGAAGAUUUAUUGAGCUCUUAAAGGAAGAAUGGAUGAUUUAUGCAUGAUAAGGUGGUUUUCCAAAGAACGUGGUUCAUUUGUUCAUGUCAACAGAAAUCUAAGAUAAAAUUACAGUGUUAAAUUAUGCAUACUUUAGAUAUACAUUGUGUGCUAUGAAAUGUGUGUUAAAGUAAAGGGAACAUGUAUUUUUUGUUCCGUGGGAACGGAAGUUGCACAUCAAUGUUUUUCCCAAAGAUUUGGACAUGUUUUGUCUGAUAUAUCCACUGUAUCUUUAGCUUUUUAAAAUAAGUGGAAUUAUUUUAUCAGUUGAUUUCUUAGCUUUAUUAUAGUACAUAAUGCAAAUACUACUAGCACACAAUUAAUUACAUCUCUGCCUAAUUACACUUUGUAAUUUUUCCCUGUAAGUAUUUUACAUGCAGAGCUGUACUGGCACAUAUGCUAAUACAUAACAAAAGACAACCAUUACCUACAUCCUUAGAGCCACAUUGCAAAUGUCUACAGUACUGCCUGUAGGGUUUUAGGUACCCAUGGUAGCAUUUAAACACCAGAGAGCAGGGAGCAAUUCAAACCUGUUGCUGCCUUGGGCUGUGAACCCCUAAGUUCUUAUGCAGUCAGAAGAGUGAAAUAGCUACACCUACUCUCCUCUGACAGGUUGCACUCUCACACUGAUGAACCAGAGCCACACCCUAAAACAUCACAGGUGCUGCAGAGAUGCUCUCACUGUGGUGACUUGUUAGCAAUUGAAUAGGAAUUCUUAACGUAAUGCAUUUUCAUGGAAAUACUUCUGUUAGUUUUGAAUUAAAGAGCUCAUUUUUUCCACUUCGGUUUGGCAAGGUGCCAGGGGACGCUUCCAAGCAAAAGAUGAAGGGUAUACUAUAAACUCGUUUUAAUUGCAUUAUCAUACGCACCUUAGCCGCAAAAUAAAAAUUCAAAAUAAAAUUA